rnacentral:rRNA from 1 species
ACAGAGAGUGCAAACGUUGUUCGGAAUUACUGGGCUUAAAGCGCACGUAGGCUGUGUCGUAAGUGUCAGGUGAAAUCCCACGGCUCACCCGUGGAACUGCCUGGCAUACUGCGAUACUCGAGUGUGGUAGGGGAGAGCGGAACUCCUGGUGGAGCGGUGAAAUGCGUAGAUAUCAGGAGGAACACCGGUGGCGAAGGCGGCUCUCUGGUCCACAACUGACGCUGAGGUGCGAAAGCUAGGGGAGCAAACGGGAUUAGAUACCCCGGUAGUCCUAGCUGUAAACGAUGGGCACUAGCUUGGGGUCUCCCUGUGUGAUCCCAGGUGAAGUAAAAAUGAUAAGUGCCCCGCCUGGGGAGUAUGGUCGCAAGGCUG